rnacentral:rRNA from 1 species
AUUGAACGCUGGCGGCAUGCUUUACACAUGCAAGUCGAACGGUAACAGGCCGCAAGGUGCUGACGAGUGGCGAACGGGUGAGUAAUGCAUCGGAACGUGCCCAGUCGUGGGGGAUAACGCAGCGAAAGUUGCGCUAAUACCGCAUACGAUCUAUGGAUGAAAGCGGGGAACCGUAAGGCCUCGCGCGAUUGGAGCGGCCGAUGUCAGAUUAGGUAGUUGGUGGGGUAAAGGCUCACCAAGCCGACGAUCUGUAGCUGGUCUGAGAGGACGACCAGCCACACUGGGACUGAGACACGGCCCAGACUCCUACGGGAGGCAGCAGUGGGGAAUUUUGGACAAUGGGCGCAAGCCUGAUCCAGCAAUGCCGCGUGCAGGAAGAAGGCCUUCGGGUUGUAAACUGCUUUUGUACGGAACGAAACGGUCCUGGUUAAUACCCGGGGCUAAUGACGGUACCGUAAGAAUAAGCACCGGCUAACUACGUGCCAGCAGCCGCCGCCGUAA